GGAAGAGUAGCUCAGUCAGGUCAGAGCGACAGCCCCGGCAAUCAGGCAGUGAAAAUUGACAAAACGUAGCAUAAGCCCUCAACCGCAGCUGUAGGCCGCCGGUUCAAAUCCGGCCUCUUCCA
rnacentral:tRNA from 1 species